UUCCCAGCGGCAAGCUUUCUCUAAAGAACCUGGAGCAAUUUCUUUCUUUUUUUUUUUUUUUUUAAAUCAGGAAUCAUGUCUGAAAGCUGCCACAACCAGUUGUAUAGGCAUGUCAAAAUGACUUUAUACAGUCAAUAUGAAACAAGCAUUAAAUAUUUUUUCUCAUGUUGUUGCUUUUAUCAUUAUGAAUUCCUUGCUUGUUGCCACCUAAGAUACGAUGGAGCAAGCACAGUCUUAAAGAAGAUUUGCUGAUUUUUUGUUUUUCUCAGCAGACCAGAGACAUCCAUAAAAAUUCAUCAGAGAGCAUUUUACUACUGAGCUGCAAAGGGAAAAACUUAAAAUGGAUAUGAAAAGUGAAGAAAGUGAUCAUAGGAGAAAACCAUUUCAGAUGACAAGAGCACCUCAAAGGCAGCAGCCUCAAGGAGCAGCCAUGGCCCCAGACUUGUCGCACGGAUGCAGAAAACUUAAUGGAGGAGGCUGAGGUCAGAAUGGGAAGAGUUUUUAAAAAAUAAAAAGGGGAGCUAAUAUGUGAGGAACUGAUUGCUGUGCAUUAUUUUCCACUGAACAGACCUUCUUUUAACUUCUAAUCUCAAGCACAUAGCAGCUGUUGUUUUCAUAUUAAAGAUCAGUAAGUGUUUGUUGAAUGAAUGUAUAAAUUCUUCCCCAAUCUCUGUUCCAUGUAAUAAGAACUAAGUUAGCAUUCAAUUAUAAAGAGGACUUAGAAAGUCUGCAGACAUUUUUGAUCAAAAAUCCUUUUAACUGUCUUCUUAUGGUUCCCGGUAACACCUAAGCCCAAAAAACUCAGGUCAUUUCUUGCCUGUACUGUUGCAAUAGCCUCAUAAUAACUAGUCUUCUCCUUUAUCAACCACAGUCGUCUCCGCUACACAAAGAAGAGAGGGUGCUAAUCUAAAGUGUAAAUUAUUUUAAAUCAGCACCCUUCUUGUAAUUUCCCAGUGGUUUUUCCUGUCAUAAGAAUAACAUGCAAAAUUCCUUGCUUGCAAAGCCAGGUAUGACCUUGCCCCGUCUACCUUACUGGCAUCGUCUCUCAUGACUCUUCCCCUUUUUCACUCUCCAUCUUGCCUUUUCCCAACCAUGCCUGCUAGUGAGCCUUAGCCCUUGUGUUUUCUCUGCCAGGGAUGCAUGACUGGCUUCUUUACUUUAUUCUGAUCUCUCUGCUCAAAUGUCAUCUUUUUAGAGAUAGCUUUCCUAAACAUCUUUAAAAGUACCCCAUGAACUGUGAAACACCUUUCCUGCUUUUUCUUCAUAGUACUUAUCACUUCCUGAUAUUAUGUUAGACAACAAGCAAAUAAGUAUAUGCUGUUCCCACUAAAAUAUAAGCUCCAUUUGAACAGGAGCCUUGAUUAUUCCUGAGUAUACCCCUAGUGCCCAGAACCUAGUAGGGCUUUAAUAAAUAUUAGAUUCAUUUGUUGAAUGAAAAAAUGAAUGAAUAAUUGAAUAAAGAUAUCCAGGUAGAGUGUCCGGGCAGCCCAACCUAUGUGAAGCCAGUACAAGAAUGUUUCUGUGACAUAGUGAGCGCAAUUAUUCCUCUAAAUGAUGAACUUGCAUGAGUACACAAGGAUAAAAUUAAGCACGUAGUUUAGAUUUCUGCAAGUCUCUUCCUCAGAUUGAGGAAAAACAAAGAAAUUGAGCUUAUUCUCACCUCAUUCUUACAUGAACUAAAUCCAGAAUAAAGCAUCAUUUAAAUACCAAGCACAUCCCUACCUCAGCCACUCAUGGAAUACUUUAUCUGUAAAGGGACAGAUAGAUAGUAAAUAUUUUUGGCUUUGGGGACCGUACAGUCUGUGUCGCCACUACUCAGCACUUCUGUUGAGGUGUGGAAUCAGCCCUAGACAACACAUAAACAAAUGGGUGUGGCUGUGUUCCAAUAAAAUGUUAUUUAUAAAACUAGGAAAUCAGCAGAUUUAGUCCACAGGCUGUAGUUUGCUGACCCUUGAAUUAGAGAGUCUUCCCCAAAUCCUCUUCCCAAGUUAUUGAAAGAAUGCCCAUAGGACCAUAGCUCCCUCACCUGGUUCUUUCAAGAAAUGAGACAAAUUCAGGGAUGGUUGGAGGGUGGAACGCCUACCUGUGACAUGACUAUUGAGCCUGAUUUCUUUCCUUUUAUCUCUUUAAAGUGAGUCAGGUCUUAACUUUAAACUGUCUCUAAAGUGGCAAUAACUGGGCCAUGUCAAAUACUCCCAAUGACAAAAUUUCUUCUUGGAGAAUGAAUGAGGGUUGCAUACAGUGGUGUGUUGGUAAAUGUUUAGCAACUGGCUCUCUUACUGAUUUCUGUAGUGUAAAUUCUCCCAUCCUGGCCAUCUGAAACUACCAAUAUGAUGUCACUUGAUGUAGAGUUGGGAAAAGACAGUCUCUUGAAUAAGUAUGAGCUGGUUCCAGCCCACUGCUGAACACAUAUUUAAAAGCUACAAUAGCUCUGCUCACUGCCAUUGCAGAGUCUGGAGGAAAGAGUAGCAGGCUUGAUAGGAGCAAUUGGCUGAAUAAUCUUUUGCAAUGCCAAUAAAUAAUGAAAAAGUAUAUAAAUAUAACGCUGUAUAGAAAGCUCUCAAGUUCAGUGUUUGGUUAAAAUACAUACUCAGUAAAUGGUAGCUAUUAUUGUCUUAGUUUAAGUUAUUGCAAGCAUUAAAAUUAAAUGUUU
ensembl:lncRNA MIR99AHG mir-99a-let-7c cluster host gene